rnacentral:rRNA from 1 species
UUCGCAAUGCCCGAAAGGGUGACGAAGCGACGCCGCGUGUGGGAAGAAGGCCUUCGGGUUGUAAACCACUGUCGGGAGUUAAGAAAUGCAAGGAUAUUAAUAGUGUCUUUGUUUGACUAAGGCUCCGGAGGAAGCCACGGCUAACUCUGUGCCAGCAGCCGCGGUAAUACAGAGGCGGCAAGCGUUGUUCGGAAUUAUUGGGCGUAAAGAGCACGUAGGCGGCUAUGUAAGUCGGUUGUGAAAGCCUUCCGCUCAACGGAAGAACAGCAUCCGAUACUACAUGGCUUGAGUGCGGGAGGGGAGAGUGGAACUUCAGGUGGAGCGGUGAAAUGCGUAGAUAUCAGAAGGAACGCCGGCGGCGAAAGCGGCUCUCUGGCCCAUAACUGACGCUGAGUGUGCGAAAGCUAGGGGAGCAAACGGGAUUAGAUACCCCGGUAGUCCUAGCCGUAAACGAUGGGCACUAAGUAGAGGGGUUUU